rnacentral:rRNA from 1 species
UACGAAGGGGGCUAGCGUUGUUCGGAAUUACUGGGCGUAAAGCGCACGUAGGCGGAUACUUAAGUCGGGGGUGAAAUCCUGGAGCUCAACUCCAGAACUGCCUUCGAUACUGGAAGACUUGAGUCCGGGAGAGGUGAGUGGAACUGCGAGUGUAGAGGUGAAAUUCGUAGAUAUUCGCAAGAACACCAGUGGCGAAGGCGGCUCACUGGCCCGGUACUGACGCUGAGGUGCGAAAGCGUGGGGAGCAAACAGG